GACGAACGCUGGCGGCGUGCUUAACACAUGCAAGUCACGGGGGUCUCGCAAGAGAGAACCGGCGAACGGGUGCGUAACGCGUGAACAACCUGCCGUUGUGUGGGGGAUAGCCGGGCUAACGCCCGGGUAAUACCGCAUACGCUGCCCGAGGGGAGUCCCUUGGGGAGGAAAGCCAUGGCGCAAGCGAUGGCGCACGACGAGGGGUUCGCGGCCUAUCAGCUAGUUGGGGGCG
rnacentral:rRNA from 1 species